AAAGCGUCUGCUAAAUGCCCUAAAUGUAAAUGUAAAUAUUAAAAAUCAAUGUAUGUGUAUUUAUAUCCAUCCUGUUUCAUCACACAUUCACCCUGUAAAUUGUAAAAGAUCAGGUUAUAGACAUGAUUAUUAUGUUCUAGGAGAAGGUUGUAUCAUCCGAUAUAUGAAUAUGUAUUGCUCUCUAACAAAUAACUCCAAAAAAUAUUUGGUAUGUUUCUAUGAAAACUUCUUUAUUUUUUAUUUUUAUUCCCGUACUUGUUCUUUCAAUUUGUUUUGCUGAUCUUCAUUUAUUUUAUUACUUUCUUUCUUCUUAUACGAAGAAAAUUCUAUAAUUUCUACUGAUUUUAAGGUAUCCCAUGAAAUGGGUGUUCUCAUUUCAUUGCAUUUUCAAAGAAUUUAUACAUUAAAAUUCAAGUGUGCAUAGGAAGCCUCAGAUAACUUUCUUUUGGCAUCACCCCUUCACAUUUCAUUGUGUGAGUACUUUCUCAGUAAUGACAAAGCUGCCUCAUGUUAAAUAUUUUUCACGUGUCUCAUUACAGUACGCCUGGUAUUUUGCCACAGGGGCUACUUUUGACUUCAGUAUUCAUGACACGUCUUUUCCUGAGAUGGUGGUGGUGUGUUGUCCUGGUGGAAAACCUUGGGCUGGAAGGGUAUGGGAGGAAGUUCGCCCACUUUACUGAGGAAGGAAAAUCAACCCUCCGAGACAAUGUCCCACCUGUCUUCAGGAAAACGAAACUAAAAAGAACACUUUCAAGCUGCACAGUGAUGCCAUUGGACUCUGACGAGGACCAUGCUUACAAUAAGAGGCCUUACAGCUUUCCCUCUAAGGAGAUGGGCAGUGGAGUUACCAUGGACAAAGAUGUCUUCAGCUUCAAAGAAGACACAUCUCUCAUUUAACAAACCAUUAAGUCAUUUAUUGGUACAGGCUUUAAUAAUUAAAAUACUUUUGGUAUGGAGCUUUUUAUAUUCUAAGGUUUAUGCCAAUAUUUGGAGGUGAGAACAUGAUGCUACUGCAUUUAAAGUCUCUAGUGCAAUCUGCUGUCUUCACCUGUAGCCAAUAUGUAUCAUCACAAUGUUCGAGUUGUGGCUUACGACACACACAUCUUUGGAUUUAUUGGGCGCUUUUCAAUACAAUAAUAAGGGUCCAAGUACUGAUUCUCUGUUGCCACUGGUUUACUUUUAUUUCUUUUCUAGAUAGGAAUAGUCUGAAAUGUCUUAACCAUGAGAUUUUUACAAAGCUGACAAAAUUAAUAAAAACAUGCAUUUAACAGAUUUAACAGAGGCUAUGUGGCUUUCCUUAAGGAGAAGGAGAGGAGAUGCUCUUUGCGUCUGAGUUCAUGAUCCAGGUUGAUCCACAACCAGUCACAACAUUCCUAAAAGCUGUUGUGUGUUAAGCUGCACGCUCAAUAAAAGUUAUUCAAAUGUUAAAACGGUUUGUAAACCUAAGAAAAAGCUGUGAUCCCUUACGAAGGAAACGGUGGAUAAGAAGAGAGGCACCAGGAUCAGUAGCCUACAUGACAAAACUGGAGGAAAACUUUGAGACCCCUAUAUGUGUAGUAGAGGUAUUUGGGUAUGGUCGGUACCGUUUGCAGCAGGCCUAAACCAUAGGUCCAUGGUCUCAACGAGUCGCGUUUUUAAUCCAUCACUGAGACAGAAAGUGGACAUUUAAGAUGUCAAUGGGUGGAUUAUUUUUUAACACAAACAGCUCGUAUGGACAGACAAGAGUCGUGGCUUUAAACAUAGUAACGUGUAUUUGUGAAAGGCAUGUUUUAUUACGUUUUUAUUAAGUUUGUUUGCAUUCUAUACAAAGUGAAUGGAGCUCUGUUUAAAGUCAGUAACGUGUAUUUAUGAAGGCCAUGUUUUAUUACGUUUUUAUUAAGUUUGUUUGCAUUCUACGCAAAGUGAAUGGAGCGCUGUGCAAAGUGAAUGGAGCGCUGUAGCACUGUUUAUUGUUUUCCCCCAUGAUGGCCACCAUAGAACGAGCAAUGGGCGUGUUUGGCAGAGCAAUGGGCGUAUUUGGCAGAGCAAUGGGCGUGUUUGGCAGAGCAAUGGGCGUGUUUGGCAAGUGGCUCCGGCUGCAGAUAGACCUACUUGAAAAAUGCCAAUACAUUGGGAUUGGGAUUUUGUCAGACAUUCUUUUUUCUCAUUUAUUUAUAAAUCCCCAAAUAAUUUAGGCAGGAGCAUCUAUCAGUCAAAAAUGCAUCUCACAUUUACACCUUAGUCAGUUAGUUCAGUAUGGCAUUGCAUGUGGUUUUAGAAAUAUAAGUCUGAGUGUAUGACUACACCAAGAUUUCUGUCUUGGUGUGUGCUUUCUAACAUAACAGCUGUGUACUGACUUUUAAUUGUUCAUCCCUUGCACCAAAGACCAUUACUUCAGUUUUUUCAUUGUUCAAUUGAAGACAAUUUGGCACAUCCAGUGAUUGAAGUAGUUAUUUAGCUGUUGAUAAACAGCUUUUCAAUGAUUUUGCUUAAAAAUGGUAAGUUAGAAAUGGCUUGAUGACUGUUGUUUUUUCAGAGCCUGUAGGAAUCACCUGUGUGAUAUCGCCACUGCAGGCAACAUGAAUAAAAAAAUAUAUAAUAAUAUACAAAUA